GACGGGUAUAAAUGAUUGUUAUUAUAAUUGUUUAAGAUAUGAUGAACACAUCCCACUGCAUGGGCUAUAUGAACCACACACUACCUCUCACAAGGUAAGACAAAACUCUGCACAUCACCUCAUCCAGUCAGUGGUAGGUAUUGGUGCUGCACAUGACUUCAUCCACUCAGUGGUGCUGCACAUGACCUCAUCCAGUCAGUGGUAGGUAUUAGUGCUGCACAUCACCUCAUCCACUCAGUGGUGCUGCACAUGACCUCAUCCAGUCAGUGGUAGGUAUUAGUGCUGCACAUCACCUCAUCCACUCACUGGUAGGUAUUGGUGCUGCACAUCACCUCAUCCACUCAGUGGUAGGUAUUGGUGCUGCACAACACCUCAUCCACUCAGUGGUAGGUUUUGGUGCUGCACAACACCUCAUCCACUCAGUGGUAGGUUUUGGUGCUGCACAUGACCUCAUCCACUCAGUGGCAGGUAUUAGUGCUGCACAUCACCUCAUCCACUCACUGGUAGGUAUUAGUGCUGCACAUCACCUCAUCCACUCAGUGGUAGGUUUUGGUGCUGCACAUGACCUCAUCCACUCAGUGGUAGGUAUUGGUGCUGCACAUCACCUCAUCCACUCAGUGGUAGGUAUUGGUGCUGCACAACACCUCAUCCACUCAGUGGUAGGUUUUGGUGCUGCACAUCACCUCAUCCACUCAGUGGUAGGUUUUGGUGCUGCACAACACCUCAUCCACUCAGUGGUAGGUUUUGGUGCUGCACAUGACCUCAUCCACUCAGUGGUAGGUAUUGGUGCUGCACAACACCUCAUCCACUCAGUGGUAGGUAUUGGUGCUGCACAACACCUCAUCCACUCAGUGGUAGGUAUUGGUGCUGCAUAUCACCUCAUCCACUCAGUGGUAGGUAUUGGUGCUGCACAUGACCUCAUCCACUCACUGGUACAGUAGGUUAAGCAUUGUUUCUUGCCUUUUUAAAUAUCACAACAGUGCUUUCUUUGAAUAAAGGUUUGGAUGGUCCAAUUUUCAAAGGUCUCUAUCGUUGUUAUUGCAAUGUAGGGCAAACUAAGACACUAACAAAAUUAACAUUUGGCUUCAUUGACAUGUACCCCAUAUAGACAUUGUACUGAAACACAGCUGAUUGAUUGAAACAAUAGGUGGUCGUCUAUACCAGCGGUUCCCAAACUGUGGGGCGGGGCGCCCCGGCGCCCCCGCAGUGGCAGCAUGUGGUCCUCCCCUCUCCAUUUAAAAAUAUAUAUAUAUACGUAUAUAUAGAGAUUUUUUAAAGGAACUCAGUCCAGCUUUAAACUUACUCCUCCUGAAAGUGAUAAUGGUAGAAUGUACAAGGUGACAUUUCUAAAUGGGCUAUGACAUCAUCAGCUCCUCUUGUCAUGUUAGUCAUUGUUCACAUUAGAGAGAUGUUUAUAACUAGUCAGGAAUGUCCAGAUCAAUCAGCCCGUGGCUGUCUUUUUUACUUACUUUUUUUUUUUAGCUCAUAAAUAUUGUUGUAGUUUUUGAGUCACUCAAAUAUCACAUGAAUACACAUUAGACGUGAUCAAAUUUGUAAAUAAUUGCAAGAAAAUUAGCAUUAAAACGACAACAUUUUCCUGUGACAAAAUGUGUAGAAUUGCAGGAAAUACGCUUUAAAUCUGCUAAAUUCUCUCUACCAACAAGCGGGGUGUUAACAGUUUGUGUCAUGAACAGUGCUUGUGCCCAUAGGGGGGACGUUUGGGAACCCCUGAUCUAUAACCAACAACAGAACACAAGGACAAUUUAUUAUUAUUGCAAAUCAAAGACGUGAAAGUCGAUGCCAAACCAUUGUCGACAACCACAAAACCCCCGGAUAGGACAACUGAGGUAUUUCAGAUUAGACUCACACACACACACACACACACACACACACACACACACACACACACACACACACACCCUGCCAUCUUGCUAUAGACAGAUCUAUAAAUUCAAGCCCCGGCUCUGCAUAUACAUACAAUCUGACCAUUAUGUAGAGAUGAAGACACUGUACCAGUUAGGUGAGUUAGUUGAUAUGCCAUCACUUACUGUUCCCACUGUUUAUACCAUAGGACUCUGGAUGGAUGGGUUCUAACCGUUACUGUUCCCACUGUUUAUUCCAUAGGACUCUGGAUGGAUGGGUUCUAACCGUUACUGUUUAUUCCAUAGGACUCUGGAUGGAUGGGUUCUAACCGUUACUGUUUAUUCCAUAGGACUCUGGAUGGAUGGGUUCUAACCGUUACUGUUUAUUCCAUAGGACUCUGGAUGGAUGGGUUCUAACCGUUACUGUUUAUACCAUAGGACUCUGGAUGGAUGGGUUCUAACCGUUACUGUUUAUUCCAUAGGACUCUGGAUGGAUGGGUUCUAACCGUUACUGUUCCCACUGUUUAUACCAUAGGACUCUGGAUGGAUGGGUUCUAACCGUUACUGUUUAUUCCAUAGGACUCUGGAUGGAUGGGUUCUAACCGUUACUGUUUAUUCCAUAGGACUCUGGAUGGAUGGGUUCUAACCGUUACUGUUCCCACUGUUUAUUCCAUAGGACUCUGGAUGGAUGGGUUCUAACCGUUACUGUUUAUUCCAUAGGACUCUGGAUGGAUGGGUUCUAACCGUUACUGUUUAUUCCAUAGGACUCUGGAUGGAUGGGUUCUAACCGUUACUGUUCAUAACUGUUUAUACCAUAGGACUCUGGAUGGAUGGGUUCUAACCGUUACUGUUCAUUCCAUAGGACUCUGGAUGGAUGGGUUCUAACCGUUACUGUUUAUUCCAUAGGACUCUGGAUGGAUGGGUUCUAACCGUUACUGUUUAUUCCAUAG
ensembl:lncRNA